UACGAAGGGGGCUAGCGUUGCUCGGAAUCACUGGGCGUAAAGGGUGCGUAGGCGGGUCUUUAAGUCAGGGGUGAAAUCCCGAGGCUCAACCUCGGAACUGCCUUUGAUACUGGGGAUCUCGAGUCCGGGAGAGGUGAGUGGAACUGCGAGUGUAGAGGUGAAAUUCGUAGAUAUUCGCAAGAACACCAGAGGCGAAGGCGGGUCUCUGGACAGUUCCUGACACUGAGGCACGAAGGCCAGGGGAGCAAACGGG
rnacentral:rRNA from 1 species